rnacentral:rRNA from 1 species
AAAAGUCGUAACAAGGUCUCCGUUGGUGAACCAGCGGAGGGAUCAUUAUCGAGUUAUUCAACUCCCAAACCCUAUGUGAACUUACCACUUGUUGCUUCGGCGCGCGCUUCGGCGCCGCCGAGGACACUUAAACUCUUUGUUUUUAUAAGCAUUUCUGAGUGGCCGAAAGGCAAAAAUACAAAUGAAUCAAAACUUUCAACAACGGAUCUCUUGGUUCUGGCAUCAAUGAAGAACGCAGCGAAAUGCGAUAAGUAAUGUGAAUUGCAGAAUUCAGUGAAUCAUCGAAUCUUUGAACGCACAUUGCGCCCGCCAGCAUUCUGGCGGGCAUGCCUGUUCGAGCGUCAUUUCAACCCUCGAGCCCGACUCUUUUGAGGACGGCUCGGCGUUGGGGGACGGCAGACUCCCCCCGGCAUCUCGCCGGGGACGCCGCCCCCGAAAUCUAGUGGCGGCCCUCCGAGGCGACCUCUGCGUAGUAACUUGUUCUCGCACCGGAAAGCUCAGAGCGGCCACGCCGUAAAACCCCAACUUUUUUCAGGUUGACCUCGAAUCAGGUAGGACUACCCGCUGAACUUAAGCAUAUCAAUA